CCUUCAGCAAUUGUUUUUUUUCCCAAGGUUUGUACCUUUUAAAGAAAAUAUAAUAUUACACAUGAACCCAUGUACACAUGGUUUGAGUGUCAUACACACCAAUAUACAAGUACAAUGUAGUACAUUACCGAGCGUCAAGAUGAAAUGAAACAUACAAGUUAGCACGAUGUGCAUACAUAUACACACACAUGGUUCCAUCCAGCCACCAAAUCAAGAGGAACCAAGCAACUUAAUCACUGCUGCUGCUGCUAGUCAAUUGGUCCUCUACCCAGCAGAUUAAGCCCUACAAUGAUGAUAACAGUAUGUGGUCAGAAACCAACCACUCUAGCUGUGAUCACUGACCCUGACCUGGUAAUUGUACUCGAUGAGAGCUUAUAACAUGUCAAACUGACCAUUUCCCUCUCUCUGUCUGAAUUAAUUAUGCAAGUCAUGACUUGCAGAUGAGGUUUGGAUAUGAAUUAGAAAGAUCUCAGAAUUAGUUUCUGAAGUUGCAACACACAAGUUCCAGUCUGUGAUUGGCGGAUUAUUUGUUUGUUUGAUACUCCCUCCGUAAACUAAUAUACAUAAGAGCGUUUAGAUCACUACUUUAGUGAUCUAAACGCUCUUGUAUCAAGAAUGAGAAAAUUCGCCGAGAAAAGUCGAUCGUGCCCCUAGUUUUUCUAAUGGAUCAUGUUUUGACAGCCCAGCAUUGGUGCCCCUUGAGCAAUUGUUUUACCCCCAAGGUUUGUACCUUUUUUAAAGAAACACUAUAUUACACAUGAACCCCAUGUACGUCUGGUUCGAGUGUCGUGCACACGAAUAUACAUACACUGGAUUGAAGAAAACACCGCAUAGAUAAUUAUAAGGUUCACGCGAAUGUCCACCAAUACAUAUAUGGUUGGAGCGUCUUUUUUCUUUUUGCGAAAUAUACAUGGUUUCAGUGUUAACAAUAUCACAACUCACAUAAAAGCACGUAAAUGAUGUCAACUAAUGCAACCGAUAUACAAUUUAAAGUUUGCCCUAAAUAUCCACGGCGCUGAUAGAUAGUUAAAAGGUUCACAUGAAUGUCGGCCAAUACAUAGUUAAAAUGUUCACAUGAAUUCCGUAAUGAUGCUUACCAAAGAUCAAUACAAACACUGUAAGAUCGACACCAAAUACAAAAUGCAAACUAUACACGUGGUUACAUAAGCCAGCCCAGAACCUAUUCCAUCUUUCCUUUUCAGUUUCUGGAAGAACUGUUUCAGAAUCGAUUGCUCGCUGCACAGUAAACAACUAGCAGAUUGCCACUUUUACUUGCUACAACUGAAUCUGCAGCGAGUAGUGACCAGUUUAACAAAGAAAAAUAUGUAUAAGGGGUUACUACAUUACUCAAAAGAGAACAUCUGAUCUACAAUUUUUCACUUCACCUAGAUGUGCUCCCAGAUAGCAGCCUUGUCCAGCAAACAACAAGAGGAGCAAAUAACUAGUGUCAUAAACCAAUUUUGAUGGAGCUGAUUUUGGUGGGGUGGAGCAGUCCCAAACAUGACCUUCUCUAAUUAAUCAAAUCCAACAUAUCAAGAAGAGAUUGUUUGAAGACAUAAGGCCACGAAUGAAACAAAGACACAUGGAGAACAGGCAAGUGUGUGUGUGUGUGUGUGUGUGUGUGUGUGUGUGUGUGUGUGUGUGUGUCAUCCAUCUUUUCUCGCCGGGCGCAAAAUAAGUGCCAUAUGCAAUCCAAUGAUGGUUUGUGAUCGGAAACCAACUAGUCCGUGUAGCAAAAAGAAGCUCUGUAUUUCUUUAGAAUCAACAUUUACUCCAACUCGUUACUCAUGUGGUCCAGUCUAUAAACUUCGUAUUCUUAUCAAUAGCAAUAGGCGCAGGCGAAGGAAGAGGCCUCCUUGCCCGCAAAAAGGAGAAAGAAUGAAGAUUUCUUCUCCCUGAUGUGGUCCAUGAGUACAAUGUAGUGCAUUACCGAGCGUCAAGAUGAAAUGAGACAUACAAGUUAACACGAUGUGCAUACAUAUAUACACACAUGGUUCCAUCCAGUCCACCAAAUCAAGAGGAACCAAGCAACUUAAUCACGGCUGCUGCUGCUGCUGCUGCUGGUAGGCACUCCGUCAAAUACCGGG
rnacentral:lncRNA from 1 species